rnacentral:lncRNA from 1 species
AGACUUCAACCUCAUUUCUUAACAAAAUCAAAUGACAAAACACUCCAUUGGCAAGAUUAAAGCAAUAGAGACAAACAAAAAGCACAGAAAACAGCAAGAAAAUGCAAGCAACAGCAGCGACAAAGAAAUGUGAGAAUGCAGCCCAGCAACGACUGAAAGUGGAAGGAACUAAGACAUCAGUUUAGGAGGGUACCUGAGGAAGCUUUUAGGACCUGGUUUGAGCGAGCAAGACGCAGUGGAAGUAGAUCUGAUGAAGUUCUACGUGAGGUUGCGGGUUGAGCCAGGUAUGUUGAAGCAGCGACUUUGGAGCCAGAUUCGAAGGACUUCCAGUCAUUUUCUCCACCAAGUUUCUGAACAAAAAUCG